rnacentral:rRNA from 1 species
GUCCUAGCCGUAAACGAUGGGCACUGGGUAGGGGGAAGCCUAUGCUCUUCCCUGCCGAAGCAAAUGUGUUAAGUGCCCCGCCUGGGGAGUACGCUCGCAAGGGUAAAACUCAAAGGAAUUGACGGGGCUCACACAAGCGGUGGAGCAUGUGGUUUAAUUCGAAGCAACGCGAAGAACCUUACCUGGGCUUGACAUCCAUGGAUUAGUCCUCUGAAAGGGGGAGUACUGCUCUUCGGAGCCGGAACAUGGACAGGUGUUGCAUGGCUGUCGU